GACGAACCGAGCGACCGUUGUUCGGAAUCACUGGGCUUAAAGGGCGCGUAGGCGGGCUGCCAAGUCCGUGGUGAAAUCCCCCGGCUCAACCGGGGAAGGGCCUCGGAUACUGGCGGCCUCGAGGGGGGUAGGGGCGUGCGGAACUGUGGGUGGAGCGGUGAAAUGCGUUGAUAUCCACAGGAACUCCGGUGGCGAAGGCGGCACGCUGGACCCCAUCUGACGCUGAGGCGCGAAAGCCAGGGGAGCGAACGGG
rnacentral:rRNA from 1 species